rnacentral:rRNA from 1 species
UACGUAGGUGGCAAGCGUUGUCCGGAUUUACUGGGCGUAAAGGAUGCGUAGGCGGACAUUUAAGUCAGAUGUGAAAUACCCGAGCUUAACUUGGGUGCUGCAUUUGAAACUGGGUGUCUAGAGUGCAGGAGAGGUAAGUGGAAUUCCUAGUGUAGCGGUGAAAUGCGUAGAGAUUAGGAAGAACACCCGUGGCGAAGGCGGCCCACUGGGCCGGUGCUGACGCUGAGGCGCGAAGGCGUGGGGAGCGAACGGG